UGGGGAAUAUUGGACAAUGGGCGAAAGCCUGAUCCAGCCAUGCCGCGUGAGUGACGAAGGCCCUAGGGUUGUAAAGCUCUUUUGUGCGGGAAGAUAAUGACGGUACCGCAAGAAUAAGCCCCGGCUAACUUCGUGCCAGCAGCCGCGGUAAUACGAAGGGGGCUAGCGUUGCUCGGAAUCACUGGGCGUAAAGGGUGCGUAGGCGGGUUUCUAAGUCAGAGGUGAAAGCCUGGAGCUCAACUCCAGAACUGCCUUUGAUACUGGAAGUCUUGAGUUCGGGAGAGGUGAGUGGAACUGCGAGUGUAGAGGUGAAAUUCGUAGAUAUUCGCAAGAACACCAGUGGCGAAGGCGGCUCACUGGCCCGAUACUGACGCUGAGGCACGAAAGCGUGGGGAGCAAACA
rnacentral:rRNA from 1 species